AGCAUUUGAACGCAGUAUUAUCACCCUUUGCGAGAAGCUAAUAUUUUAUCCUGCAGUCCUCCCUCGCGUGACUGAGAUUGCAUGGUGUAAGGCGUAAUGUGGUGUGUUGAGCGAGUGUGGAGUGUACAAGAGGGAGGCGUGGGGGAACUUUGUCAUCAGGAGGAAGGAAGGAAAGGGGAGAGUAGAGGAAGAAGAGAGAGGAAGGAAAGGGGAGAGUAAGGUGUCAUGGAGAGAGAGGAAGGAAAGGGGAGAGUAAGGUGUCAUGGAGAGAGAGGAAGGAAAGGGAGAGUAAGGUGUCAUGGAGAGAGAGGAAGGAAAGGGAGAGUAAGGUGUUAUAGAGAGAGAGGAAGGAAAGGGAGA